rnacentral:rRNA from 1 species
UACGUAGGUGACGAGCGUUAUCCGGAAUUAUUGGGCGUAAAGCGCCCGCAGGCGGCUGUUCAAGUCUGACGUGAAAUCGCUCGGCUUAACUGGGCGGGGUCGUUGGAAACUGAAUAGCUUGAGGCAAGGAGAGGGGGGUGGAAUUCCGCGUGUAGCAGUGAAAUGCGUAGAGAUGCGGAGGAACACCGAUGGCGAAGGCAGCCCCCUGGGCUAACACUGACGCUCAGGCACGAAAGCGUGGGGAGCAAACAGG